UCGUAGAAGAGGAGUACGCUGAAGUAAAUGAAGAACCAGAAAAGUCCACUGCAAGAAGAACUUCGUCACAUGUCUAUCAACUUGUGCCAGAUGACGCUUUUUAUUCUGUAUUACAAGAGUAAGCCAUGGUUAUGGAUACACCAGUAAGAUUGUACUUUGCAUCAAGAGAAAUUGCCUGGAACCGUAAAAACUGAGAAACUGCUGCAAAUCCAGUCCACCACCCACGAUCCUGCUGCUCAUCAGAAGGACCAGAAGCAAAUAGGCAGCAGUUCAGAGAUGGACAGCCUGUUUAACUACUGAUCAUCUUAGAGUGGUGAUAAGCCAUUAUCCUGAUCAUCUGAUUGUUAUGAUGUCUGUGUUAUAUUGUAGAUGCCCUGUAAAGUGGCCUAACCCUACAUGGACUAAGGUUAUGCAAGGCCUAAUGUAUUUAUUUUAAAUUUUGUGAAAUAAUAACUAAAACAACUCUGGUCUUUCAGGAAACAUUUGUAUUUUCUGUCUGGCUCAAAUGGCAAUGAAGUUACAAGCAUUUAAAGAGUUUUUGUAAAAUGGGCCCACCUCUGGACCCAUUACUCAUUUCACUUUUU